rnacentral:lncRNA from 1 species
CUUCUGUGCCUGUGGGACUACAUUCUCUGUGCCGGGCUUAGAGAACACGAAGAGGGAGCCAUCUGCCACACUCUGGAGGCUGAAGCCUGCACCAGUGCUGCUCGCCUCACUGUGGUAGGUGGUGGUGAUGGAAACUGCAGAUCGGCCAGAGUGGUAGAAAAGUUGCUGCAGGGUUUUUCUGGCUUUGCCUGCCCAGCUGCUCCAUGCCUGGCUAGAGGAGAAGGAGGAGCCACAUGUGGUACACUGGAGGCUGGAGCCUGCAGAUGGCAUGGCUCUGCGGCUCACCUUGCUGCAGUUGGUGGUGGUGACAGAGACUGCAGCUUGACUGUAGUGGUAAGAGGAUGCCUGUGGCAGCCAGAUGAUAGGGGCCUUAUAGGGUGGGCCAGUGCAUUGAGGGUGACAGCAGAGGUGGUUGUAUUGGCAUCAGUGCUAGUGGUGGCAGCAGCAGCAAGUCUGGGAAAAGAAAAGAUGAAAAAGAAAAAUUCACAACUGCCAGAUCUUCUCCUGUCUGGAAGUGUUGUGUGUGCUGCCAGUACAGGACACCCGUGGGCCACUGGAGGGGGAAUUCAAGACCUUUUCUAUGGUGUUUAAAGACAAGGGCGAGUUGUAGGUGGGAACCAAAGUCAAACAAACAGGUGGGGAGGAGAGCUGGGUACUCCCUUUCCCUGACUCAGCCUUUUAUUGAUGAAGGCAGGGAUGGGAUGGGGAGAGCUCACCUGGCAAAGACUCCACACAGGUGUGCAGCACACCCUGAUGGGGCCAGAAAAUGUCACUGUGAGCCCUAGGGGUGAAAGACACAGUGAUGGGCUGCUGGGCAACUACCAAGUGUAGAGAUCCUGAGUGCCCAGAGAGUUACCAACCACUUCCCUUCCCUGUGCAGAUCAGUGGAGGCAGAUACAUACACAAAAUGGGAAGGGGAAAGAAAACGGCUUUCAGAUCUCCCCACCAUAGAGACUAUAAGAUUAUUCCAGAAUGGCCACAAUUUUUUCACUGCCCACUCUGGGCCAAACAGUGUCCAUACACUACGUCAUUCUUAUGAGGGUUACUUAGUUCCAUUUUAUGAUGAGGACAUUUAGGCUCAACUUGUCCCAGGUCACAUAACUGUUAAGUAAUUGUAUUUUCCAAGAAUGAUCCUCUUUCAACCUCACGAUGAUGCUUCCAUGGUUGGAAAAUAAAAUUAUUCACAAAAGUGAAAGUACUAGGGGCAGCUGCAGGGCUACAGGCCUUUGAAGACAUUGCUCAGUCUCUUCAGAUAGUUUCUUUCACAUGUUCUAUACCUUGGUUCCCCAAAACAACUCCUCCAUUAAGACUGCUCAAAAUUGAAAUAACACUGUGGCACAGAUGUUUUGCCCAUCAAAUUCACAAAGAUCAAAAAGGAAGGACUGAAUAGGCAGAGUGGGUAUGUGUUAAGAAAACAUGUUCUCAUACACUGUACUACUUGUGGCAAUAUAAACUGAUAAAACUUUGUAGAGGGAAAUAUGGCCAAGUGAGUCAAAAGUUUUAAACCUGUUAAUAUCAUUUGGCUCAGAAAUUCUACUUGUAGGGAUUUAUCUUAAGGAAAUUUUCACAAAUGUACACAAAGAUUAAUUACAAAGAUGUUUAGCUUCAAUGUUGUUUGGAAACUAACAUAACGUGCAAUAGAGGCCUGGUGAACUGAGUACUGGGACCUUCACACUGCACAGGGGAGCAAGAACCUCUUCUCUUGCCUCUGCUUUGUGGGAUUUUCCAAAAUCCUCCUGGCUUCUUUUCCCUUCCCUUCCUUCUUCCCAGAGCAGGGGCCAGCUUUACCUCAGUUGGUAGGUCACACACAUUGGGUGGAGAUGGUCAAAGGUCCUCUGCUUGGACAAGUUGCUCCCUGUCUUCAUUCCUCUGGCCAAGGCCAGUGUUAGGUGGGGACUGGUGAGCUGUCUGGCCCCACAGGGCUAAGCUUUCCUUUAGGUGGGUUUAUCCCACUUCUCAACAGUCUAACAAAGAACAGAUUCCACAAGCCCACUUCGUCUCUUGCUGCAAGCUAUGCCUUCCGAUUCUGCCUUCAUUAGAAAUAAGGGUGAUAUUUUGGUUCUCCACCUGCUAUUUCUCGAUUUGGGUGGGGAAGAUGGGUGCUACUUACUGAACUCUCCCAAAGACCUUCAAGAACACUGAGCAGAAUACCAUCUAGCCAUAAAAACUGAUGUAGAAAAAUACUUAUGAUUGGAGGAAAAUCAUGGGAUUUUAAAGCAAAAUAGCAGGUUACAAAACAGCAUGUAAUAAACAGCUGAAAAAAAACAGGGGCAUAGCAAUGUAUUGUGGUUAUUUUCAUCUUGCUUUAACCUGUUUGAUUUCAAGCUUUAUUUUAUUUGCACGCAAAGCAUCCUAACUGCUGUUGGCAGUCCUUGUGUGCUAUGAGACAUCCUCACAGUAUCCUUCUAAGAAAUUCACUGUUUUACUCAAGCUAGUUGAAAUUUGCAUUCUAUCACUGCAGUUAAGAGAGUAAACAAAUAAAAUGUUCAUGUUUCUAAAAACCCUGAAGAAGACAGAUUGACAGAGCUACCUUGUAUAGCCAGAGAAAAGCAAUUUACCUUCCAAUUUUCUCAAUAUGACAGUAUUUCAUCUAUCUCUGAAGAUAUAAAGACUAAAUUAAAAGUGGUAAUGUGGACAUUAAUAAGAAAAGAAAGGGAAAUAAGAAUUAUGAGGAUUCAUAUGUGCUAAGUACAUUCAGAAAUUUACAAUUUCCUAACAAAAUGGAAAUGUUCUAUCAGUUGGAAAAGCAUGCAGAAACAAUUGUACUUCCAUUCAGACAUUACCUUUUGAAGCCUGUCACCCCAGUGAGUGAGGGAAGGAAGUAAACAUAUCUACCAGAGGCAGGAAAAAAACUUACUUCAAAAGAUCACUUAGCAAGAACUUCUUAAUUAUCAACGAAGCUUUGGUGAAGAUGCAGCCAGCUGGAUAUCAUACAACAGACACUAUAUUAGUCACUAGUUAAAUAAAGAUGAAAGGAUACAAGUCCUGACUUCAAUUUGCCCACAGUUUAGUGGGGAGAUAAACAUGGAUAAAGUAUAAUUAUAGGUUUCAUUUCGUAUGCUGGGUACAAUGGUGUGUGCCUGUAGUAGUUACAGCUACUCAGGAAGCUGAGGUGGAUUUUUGAGCCCAGGAGUUUGAGGCUGCAGUGAGCUAUGGUCACACCUAUGAAUAGCCACUGCAUUCCAGCCUGGGAAACAUAGCAACACUCUAUCUCUUAAAAAAAUUUAAAAGAAAUUGGAUCACGCAAUUAUGGAGGCUGGCAAGUCCAAAAUCUGCAGGGUUGGUUGGCAGGCUGAAAACCCAGGGAAAGACAAUGCUGUGGUACAGGUCUGAAGGCAGGCAUGUGGACACCCAGGAGAAGCUGAUGGUGCAGAUAAAGGCAAGAGGCAGUAUUCUCAAGAAUCCCCUCUUGCUUGGGAAGGUUGGUCUUGUUCUAUUCAAGCCUUCACAUGAUUGGACAGGGCCCACCUAUAUUUGGAGGGCAUUGUUUUACUCAAAGUCCACUAAUUCUAAUGUUAUUUUCAUCUAUAAACACCCUCACAGAAACACCAAGAAUAAAUAAUGUUUGUCCACAUAUCUGGGCACUGUGGCCCAGUGAAGUUGCUACAUACAAUUAAGCAUCACAGUGUCUGUCCUAAGAAUGUGUGGUGCACAGCCCUGAACAUGGGACUGUGAUGCUCCGUGAUGGUGCAGGGUGUGUAAUACAUCACUGCGUUACAGACCUAUAGACUGUACCGCAGAAAGAGUGAAUGUGAACCAGUGUAACCUGUGGACCCUGGGUCAGUGUAGGUUCAUGGGUUGUAACGUGUACCGCUCUGGUGGAUGUAUGCACAUGUUACACAAGAGUGUGUAAUACAUACUCUUUCUACAGACCUCUGGGGUUGGUGCCCUGCAGCAUCACACAUGGCCUGGUCUGGCCUCCUGUGCUCCUUGGGGGGCAGCUGACCAUGAGGUCAGAUGAGCAUGAUGUGCCAUCCCAUUGCUCUUCCCAUCACCCUGGCCAGGCUUUGUGAAUAAUCUGUGUUCCUUGCUUCUAUUUCCUCAUCAUUUGUUCCUUACUUUUUCUCUUGGCUUCUCGCUCCAUUCACCAUUCCCUCAGUUCUAAAAUUCCCUGGGAGCCCAGUGUCCUCCCUGAUGCCUUGCAGUGCUGAGCGCUGUCACCAUUCUACCACUCAGAACCCUUUCCUCUCUCUGCCAUGAUCCAUGCUCUCUUGUGGUGUCUUCAGCUCAACAGUUUGUAACAGCUGCAUCAGGUGCUGUAUUAGUCUGUUACAAACAAAUGUUACAAAAAAAUGCCCAGGACUGGGUAAUUUAUAUUUAUUUAUUUAUUUAUUUUUGAGACGGAGUCUCACUCUGUCGCCCUUGCUGGAGUGCAGUGGUGUGAUCUCAGCUCACUGCAAGCUCCGCCUCCCAGGUUCACACCAUUCUCCUGCCUCAGCCUCCCAAGUAGCUGGGACUACAGAAGCCCCCCACCACAUCCGGCUAAUCUUUUUUUGUAUUUUUAGUAGAGACGGGGUUUCACUGUGGUCUCCAUCUCCUGACCUCGUGAUCCGCCUGCCUCCCAAAGUGCUGGGAUUACAGGCAUGAGCCACCGCACACAGCUGGGACUGGGUAAUUUAUAAAGAAAAGAGGUUUAAUGACUCACAGUUCCACAUGGCUGGAGAGGCCUCAGGAAACUUACAAUCAUGGUGGAAGGCGAAGGGGAAGCAAGGCACGUCUUACAUGGUGGCAGGAGAGAACGAGUGAGGGGGGAGACUGCCACAAACUUUUUUUUUUUGAGACAAGAGUCUGGCCCUGUUGCCCAGGCUGGAGUGCAGUGGCAUGAUCUCAGCUCACUGCAACCUCUGCCUCACAGGUUCAAGCAAUUCUCAUGCCUCAGCCUCCCGCAUAGCUGGGACCACAGGUAUGCACCACCACACCUAGCUAAUUUUUGUAGUUUUAGUAGAGAUGGGGUCUCACUAUGUUGCUCAGGCUGGUCUAAAACUCCUGGGCUCCAGCAAUCCGCCUGCCUUGGCCUCCCAAAGUGCUGGGGUUACAGGCAUAAGCCACCACAUCCAGCCUGCCACAUACUUUUAAACUAUCAGGUCUCAUGAGAACUCAUGCACUAUCACAAGAAUAGCAUGGGGAAAAUCCCCCCCAUAAUCCAAUCACCUCCCACCAGGUCUCCUCCGACACGUGGGAUUGGGUGGGGACACAGAGCCAAACCGUAUCAGAUGCUGCAGGGGCUGGGGACACUGAGACCACUCAGACCUGGUGUCUCUGUCACUCUUCUGGGCUCUGUCUGUCUCCAGGACCUCCCUCCCCUUCCAUGGUAUAGAAGGAAAGUGCUGUAAUGUGCAAAUUGCACAGGAACUCCUUAAGACAUACAUUAUCCACUCAGCAGUUUUAGGUUCGCAGCAAAAUGGAGUGGAAGGAACAGAAAUUUCCUGUGCACCCCUCCCCGCUGUCUCCGCCAUAUCGGCAUCCUGCAUCCAGAGUGGUAGACUGGUUACAGGCUAUGAACCUACACUGAUGCGGCACCACCACCCAGAGUCCACAGGUUAUGUUGGUUCACAUUUACUCUUGCUGUGGUAUGGUCUAUAGGUUUGGACAGAUGUCCGAUAAUCCUUUUUACAUUUUGGCAUCCUUGGGUAGCUCGUCUUGCAGGAAUGGACUUGCUUCAAAGUGGAGGCAGGCAGAUCCUUCAGAUGGGUAUAUGGAGCCCUGUUUUCAGUUGCUUUUCUAAUUCUCUCUUAUCGUUUACCUCAAAAUCUUCCUGAGGUCUCGCUUCCUUUUAAAAUCCUUGUCUACUUUGCAGCAUCACUCUGACACUCCAUUGAUUCCUCAGCACCUACUGACUACACGGUUAGGAGUGCAAGGGUAGAAUUCAUGUUUUAUUCAUCUUUGGGUCUGUAGCACCCAGCAAAGUGCUCAGUAAAUGCGCAGUAAUUGAUUUGACCUCUGAACAAAUACACACUGUACUAAGAAUCUACACACCGAAAGACAAAAACAAGACAAAUUUGAGUGCUACAGGUGUCACGCUUGGCCUCACACAUGUGCCUGUGUAUUCCUCUAGGUGGUUACCAGGAGCUCUGCCACUGCAUGUCCACUAGUGACGGGUUCGCUCCACCACCCCAGCUGGGUAGCCGCUGCUCUCACAUAAGGGGUCCAAUUAAAAUUGCCAGGAAUAAAUUCCCCCGGACUUUGACUUCUCAAGAGCUAAGAAGGUUUGCUGAGUAUUCUGGCAUGAUGUUUGGUGAUCAAACAACUGCUGGCCAAAAAUGAUGAGUAUUUCCCCCUCUUGCUGAAGAUGUGCUCCAUACAAUAGUCCAUCACAUUCAUCAUUCAUCAGUCUGGAAGUGUGCAGCCAAUCAUAUUAUCUAUCACAUGUUGUUCUGGCUUUUUUUUUUUUUCCAAUGUCCAGCCUAAACUAUAAAGAACUUUGAGAACGCACAGUGAACCAUAAGCUUGCCAAUAAAGAGUCCUCUGUGGUAUGGAACUGGCUUAUUUCAUACACAAUCUGCAAACAAUGAGGGCACUAUUGGAAACAUACUGUGCUGCACAGAGCAUUUACACCACUUAUCUUUAAUCUUCCCCAGCAAUCCUUGCUUUGUGCGCAUUUAUGAUCCUUGCUCUCAGAAGUCCACAUACUUUUCCCCAACCGUAACAAAUUAUUUAACUCAUCUAAUGUAUGUAUGUCCGCGCAGUCUGAAAACAGUAAUUGUCCUUGGGAAGAAGUGAGUUUAAGAGAGCUCUAGGGCACUCAUCACAACUCCAGCCCUGCCCUCCAUGUGGUAGCAGCUCUUUGGACUGGGGCUAAGUGCUUAUUCUUGUGCUUCAUUCCUGGUAAGCUCAAUUUCUUUACCUUAGGAUAACUUUGCUGGAAAAGGGCUCAGAUUCAGCCGACCAUUGUGGCCUCUGUGGCUGUCACAGCUUGUCCCUGACAUGCUAUGAUGUUGGGUCCCCUUCUCAUCCCCUUGGGAUUUCUUCUGCUGGCCCACAGCCAGAACAACUAGGCCUUUUACUCCACCAUCCCUUUGUUUUCUUUUGUUUCGUUGGUAAAAAUCAAUCCUUCUACCAUCCAUGCAUAGCAAUUUCUAAAAACUGAAUUUCAAGAGCAGUAUCUGAAGAAACAAACAUGAUUUGGUCCUUUUAGUAAACAGAAUAAAUUUUAAUAAAUCAACUUUGAAAUAGUUGUAAGAGUUAAGAAAAAGCACAAAACUGAGAUCAUCAGAGCAGCUUGGCCUCAAAGGACAGGCAGCAGGAUUCUACAGGGUUUGAGCCUUCCUAAGUGAAGCUGUUUCCUGCAGGCUCCCUGCUCCAAGCUCCUAGCUAACAGCCCCUUCUCCCACGAUUGGCAACAAAGAGCAAAAAUAACUUUGUACUUGAUGCUGAGUCAGUGUAAAAAGCCAUAAAAAAUUCCCUCUAAAUGUCAAAAUGUUUGCCUCCUUUGAGGCUUCUCUCCUCCUACUGGGUCUGGAUAAAUUAGCACUGGGCUUAUAUUGAGUCACAGAUCUGGGCCCUGCCACAGAGAGCUUCCUCCUAGUGUGUGAUGCUUUUUCUCCAAACUAUUGAUACAAAAUGCACUGGAAUAGAAAUCAACAGAAACUGGUCAAAGGUGUGGCAUACACAUUCUCAUGUAGAUGUAAAGCUGUGCUUAGAAUUCCUUUGUGGAGUCUGGUUUGGUCUUGGUUUUCUUGGUGUUUGAUUCAUUUUUUUACGUAAAUUACAAAAACCCUCCACAUUUCUUCAUGGAUUGUAUUAGUCCAUGUUCUCCAGAGAAGCAGAACGAGUUGGAUGUAUGUUUUGGAAGAGAUUAUGAGGAACCGGCUCAUGUGAUGAAGGAGGUUGAGAGGUCCUGUGCUCUGCCAUCUGCAAGCUGAAGACCUGGAAAGCUGAGGGUGUGGCUCCAGUCUGAGUCUGAAGGCCCAAGAACCAGGGGAACCAACGGUGUAGAUUCCAGGUUGAAGGCAGGAGAAGAUGGAUGUCCCAGCUCAGCAGGCAGGCAGGAAGCAAAUGGGGUAAAUUCCUCCUUCCUCCACCUUUUGUUCCAUUCAGGCCUUCAACAGAUUGGAUGAGCGCACCCCCACCCCCACACUAGGGAGGGCCAUCUGCUUUACUGAGUCGGCUGAGUCAAGUGCCAGCCUCAUCCCAAAACACUCUCCAGACACACGCAGAAAUGUUUCAUCUGGGCACCCUGUGGCCAGUCAUGCUGACACACAGAACUAACCAUGACAUGGAUUCUUCUUAAAGCAGUGAUAGGAGCGAACAGAAACAUUUUCAUAAUUUUCAAUUAUUUUUAAUGAAAACUAUAUCUGAUGGAAUUGUUUAAACCUAGUCUGGCCACACAUUAUUUCCUGGGACCGCCCCUCCUUCAAUCCCUUGGACACUGAUGACUUUAUGCCCAGAUUACACUGGAGGCCUGUGCUGAUUUUCUAACACAUACCUGCAACUGAGCUGGCAAAAAGAAAACUAGGCAAGUAUGACAGAUACAUGAUGCACAGGCUAAGUGCAAAGGAAAGAAAAACACCAACUGCAGGGAUGAGGGACUCACCCCUUUAGAAGUUUCUACUUGAGCAGCUAGAAGACUACAAUGCCACUCAUCAAAACAGUGACUCAGGGGGAGUAUUUGGGAUAAAGGAGGAAUCUGAUGUUGGAGGUCAAAUUUGAAGUGUCUUUAAGACCUACAGGUAACGAGACAGCUGGACAAACACAUGGAACUCAGGACAAAGGCUCUAAGGACAGCACAGCAGCUGACAUCCUGUGUGACAGCCUUGAAAGCAGCAGGCCCGCCGCUCACAUUUUGGAAGGGAAAAUGGGUACAAUGUUGUCUGCCACUUUGGGGCCUUCUUGGGUCACAUGCAUUUUACAUUUAUGCAGUUGAUAUAUUUAUGUUUCCUGGGUCUUUUAUACAUUAGACACCAUGAUUCUCAAUCCUUUGUUAUUUUGUAUUACAAAAAGCUGAAUUAUUAUUUCAAAUAUGGGCAAAUUAGAGCCUUCCAUAUUGCCAAGGUGUAUCAACCACACUGAUAUCACGAUCUCUCUUUUGAAUUAGUUUUCCAGUUCACACCUACCAUUUAUUUCAUGAUUGGUUUCAGACUUGUUCCUCCUGGAAACACUCCCUAACAAGCACCCUUGCAGGAAUGAAGACACACCACACACAUCUACCCCAUUACUGCAUGUACUCAAGAGUCAGCUUUUAUAUGAUCUCUCCCAAGUGCUCCUAUAAUGGGGAUCUUUCACUCACCCUAAAGUGAGGACAAAAUACUUGAAAGCAUGAGCCCAGUGCCUGUAGGUGUGCAAUUAACCUCAGACCAAGGAAGUGCCGAACGCAUCUGGCUUUUAGCAAGGCACCUGACAAAGUCCUUCAGGAUGUUUUUGUACAUGAGCUAGAGAAAUGUACCUGGAGAACAGCUUCUACUGCCAGAUGAUCUUACUCAAAAGAUGCAGAUUAAGCAAAAUAUCAACCCAAAGGGUGGUCCCUGAUGGCCCACCAGCCCUGUGCCUGGCUCGUUUCCUAUGUUUCCUAGAUUUGGUUUCAGACUUGCUCCUCCUGCAGACACUCCCUAACCAGCAUCCUUGCAGAAAACUGGUGAACUAGAAAAGGCCUGUGUGGGUCACGUGGCCACCCAACACCACAGCAGUGUCUAAGGUAUGCGUGGGAGCCUGCACAGCAGGAGCGGGGUCUUCUGGAGACCCGCAUGAGAUGCAAAGGGCAGUGGACAAGGAGCCAAGGGAGGUGGCUCUAGUCACGCUGGUAUGGUGCCAGCUUGAGGAUGCUGGGCAAGUCCCGAGCCGUCUGCCUUCCUAGUACCACAGUUACCACUGUCUGUUACCUCGCGAGUUCAAGUGCUUCACGUGAGACAGCUACGAGACAGGCCCCUGGAAACUGGAAAAUGCUAAAAUUUGGAAAUUAUCUGUCUGGAAGCUCUGAGUUUAUCUUGGGACCUCAAGAGGAGAGGAUCACCCAACUCACAGCAAUCAAACUCCAAAUGGUGCUAUAAACUGAACCACACAUGGACACGUCAGUCUUCCGAGGACCCUUAGAUCAACCCCAGGAGGAGCCCUAGCUGCUGUUCCCCAUUCGACGCCCCUUUCCAGCAGGAAGUAGCCAGAAGACAUCGUCGCCCAAACCUCUAACAGCAGUUAGUGCGGCAUCUCCACAGGGGGGAAUGUUGUAGGAGUUAUUGAUAAAUUAUUUUAGGCAGAUAGAGAGGAAAAGGGGUCCUUAGGAAGUUUUUGUUUUUUAAAGCACGUCUGGAAAAGUUUCUUGUAAAGCUCCAGCUCUUAAAGCCAGGCCAGUUACCCGAUAUCCAAAUGCCAGCCAUUAGAAAGUGGGUCCACCCAAACAUGGCGAUUCCUGUGGACUUCUUGCCCUUUCCCCACAUUCCUGGAUACAUGGACACCCCGAAGUAUCCCCACCUGUGUAGAAGAUCAUGGUGCCCUGCAUUUGCAUAUUAAAAGGCUAGGGUGGGAGAGCCAGCUUUUCCUGCGGGCUACGUGAAUGACAUGCCUAGUCAAACCAAUCCCCUGAGCCUGUGCAAAUCAGACACUGCCUCCUCCAGCCUCUGUAUAUAUACCUAGCUGGUAUCUGUGGCAGGUGGGGUUCCCUCUCUUGGCUUUGGAGCCCCCCUUCCUCUGUCUCUGUACAGGGGAGCUUCUUCCUUUUCCCUUCCCUCUUGCUUCUUCUUGCCUAUUAAACUCUCUCUGCUCCUUAAAAAUAAAAAA